GGCCGCCUGGCGAAAUGGUAUCACGUCUGACUACGAUUAUCAUAUGGGAGUACCUUAUGUAAUCAUAUCAGGAGAUUGUUGGUUCGAGUCCUGCGGUGGUCA